CCCCCCCCCAUCUUUUUAAGAGCUUUGAAACUCAUGACUGGAAGAAGCGUUUGGAGUCAAUGGAAAAGCUUUAAACCAACUUCUAGAAGAGGUUAUUAAACAUAGCCAACCAAAUGGAAUUGAUUCCUUAAAUUGUAAUAGCCCUAACAGAUGAGAAAAUGACAACAGAAGGACGUAAAGAUCUUUAUCGUUGCAUGAAAAAAUAGCUUGGUAGCGACUAUGUGGAUGCUAUAUAUACAUCCACUCAAACCUGCAAACAAUGAUGGUUCAGAUUAGUAGUCAGUGGAUAGAGACAGGUGAUCUGAGAGUUAGUGGACUAGAAACGAUUGAAAAGAAUAUCAAAAGAUAUCUAAAGCCAACACUAGUACUUAUGCUUUAAAAGAACCAUUUGAAUCAUCAAAGAAUGUCGAAAGGUGUUUCAAAGACUUCAAAAUAGAUUUUUAGUGGUCGUACCUUGAAGCAAGAAAACAGAACACUUCACCACUUCAAGAUGCAAGGGAUUUGAAGUUGACGUAUGGAAAUGUACAAUACUUCAUUUUAAGUUACACAGGUCGCAAACGCAAUCCGUAAUCUAGAAAGGAAGAGUCAGGUGGUAAAAUCUCUCUAUCUCUCUUCUCAAAGUAAAAAGUUAACACAAACAAAACUGAUCACACUCAAACUUAAAAACUUCGCAUGCCCAAGAAACAAAUAAUACUCGAUAAAAACUCCACACACCAAAAAUUUCACAUCCCACGAAAACACAAACACAAACUUCACAUGCCACGAAACAUAAACACGAAAACUUCACAUGCCACAAAACACUAACGCAAAAACUUCACUUGCCACGAAACACAAACGCAAAAACUUCACAAUCCACGAAACACAAAUGCAAAAACUUCACAUUCCACGAAACACAAACAAAAAAAUUUCACAUGCCACAAAACACAAACAAAAAAAUUUCACAUGCCACGAAACACAAAACUUAAAAAUUUCACAUCCCACGAAACACAAACACGAAAACUUCGCAUGCCAUGAAACACAAACACAAAAAUUUCACAUGCCACAAAACACAAACACAUAAACUUAACAUGCCACGAAACACAAACACAAAUAUCGCAAAUACUCCGCAAACUAAGCACUUCACUACCACGAAGCACAACAAAAAACUCGACAAAACCCAACAAAUUCACGAUCAAACACAAACACAAAUAUCGCAAAUACUCCGCAAACUAAGCACUUCACUACCACGAAAGACAACAAAAAACUCGACAAAACCCAACAAAUUCACGAUCAUCUGGAACAAGAGUUAAUCAUGGAUAUUUUUCUUUCCAUGACAAGUAUUUUUAUGGAUAUAAUGUUUCUAUAUUACAAGAGUUUAAUGCUGUCCAUUUAUAAUGUCAGUAACAAUUCAUAUAAUUUAUGCAUGAUUUUUAAUGUUAUCUAUUUGCUCAUUUUUUAUUAUUAAAUUUUGUUAUAUUUACUGUUUAAAAGUUGCAAAUGUAUCAAGAUCAUUUUGAUACACAUUUUUACUCCAUACAAAAUUUCACAUUAUUAUUUUCUUUUUCUCAAUGUGGUUAAGCGCAGUGUGUAACACUGUUUUGUACUUUUUCUUUUGCUUUUGGUUAUUUUUGUUAAUUAAAACAGACGUUAGUUUUGUAAUUUUCUUUAUGUUAAAAAUCAUUUUUGGGGAUGUAAGAUUUUAUCAGUUGUCGUUGUUGUUAUAUAAUGUGAUAUUUUAUUA